AUUUAUAUCAGCUAAGAGAAGCUUUCUCUUUUACUCUGUUUCAAACAAAUCAGCACAAUUUAUUCUCACAAGAAAAACGCAGAUGGAGGACCUUAUUCACCAAAUUCCCUCUUUCAAGAACAGAACUUGAAUUUACAAAGUUUUUGUUGCUGCAUACUUUCACACCACAAGAAGUUUGGUUUUAAAGGACUCUCCCUCAACAAAUCAUUAUCACAAGGCUUUGUGACCAGGGGGAUUAGCGCUGCUUUCCCAAGACAGGUUUAUAUGUGAUUAUGAUCUUCAGGCUUUGCCUAACCAGGUUGGCUGGCCGGUGCUGACGGGACGGAGCUGAGGCUAGCGAUAAAUUCCUAUGUUAGACUUCCGCUGUAGCAAUUACUCAUAUCAGUCUUUUGUUUUCCCAACUUAAGAUCUUCAUGUUAAAUUUCAAAUGAUAUACCUGACAGAGCUUAGACUCUUCACUACUAAAUUUAUGCUAAUGAAUGUCGGUUGUCAGAAGCAUGAAACAAAACUUGUGAUCCAAAGGGGCAUAGCCCGACUUUCUAUCCUAUUUCGGGUUUUUACAAGGUUGUUCCUUGUUUAUUUCUAUGAAUUAGUUGCACCUCGAUUAUAUUUAUUCAUUCAAGAAUUGGGGUGUGACAGAAUGGUAUCAGAGCAUGAGUUUUCUUUCAUGACUCUGAUAACCAUAAGCUUUUGAUGUCGAGUCUAGAAUAGUAUCUCUAGACUUCUAAGAAUGUCAGUAGCCCUCAGCUCACCGUCACACUGCCGCAACCAAGGUACGAUAAUAGUUUCAAAAAUAUACAUAUAUGUAUUUCAGAUGUUAUGAAAGUUUUCAAGAAAAGGUGCGCCUUAUGUUUACGAUGCUAUGUGAAUGCUUUUUGUCGUGUUUGGGACUACCCGAACCCAUAACGACUCAAUGAAUGUAUUUCGUGUUUGGGACAACCCGAGCCCUUAACGAAUCAAUGUAUGUAUGUAUGUAUGGUCGAGUUAGAUUCCUUGAAUCUUUCCGGCAUAAGCAAAGUUUUUCAUGAAAGGGACAUUUAAUGUCCAUAUGACUCAAAAUUUCAAAGAAAGCAAAUAUAUGUAUGUAUGUAUGUAUGAAUGAAUGAUGAGAAAGCUUUAUGUUA